GGCCGGAUGGUGUAGUUGGUUUAUCACGUAUCGUUAACACCGAUAAGGUCCUGGGAUCGAGCCCCAGUCUGGUCA
rnacentral:tRNA from 1 species